UCCAUCGGGCUUUGCCUGGUGGUGAGAGUGGCGAACGGGUGAGUAAUGCGUGACCGACCUGCCCCAUGCACCGGAAUAGCUCCUGGAAACGGGUGGUAAUGCCGGAUGCUCCAUCACACCGCAUGGUGUGUUGGGAAAGCCUUUGCGGCAUGGGAUGGGGUCGCGUCCUAUCAGCUUGAUGGCGGGGUAACGGCCCACCAUGGCUUCGACGGGUAGCCGGCCUGAGAGGGCGACCGGCCACAUUGGGACUGAGAUACGGCCCAGACUCC
rnacentral:rRNA from 1 species